rnacentral:rRNA from 1 species
ACUCCUACGGGAGGCAGCAGUGGGGAAUUUUGGACAAUGGGCGAAAGCCUGAUCCAGCAAUGCCGCGUGAGUGAAGAAGGCCUUCGGGUUGUAAAGCUCUUUUGUCAGGGAAGAAACGGUGAAAGCUAAUAUCUUUUGCUAAUGACGGUACCUGAAGAAUAAGCACCGGCUAACUACGUGCCAGCAGCCGCGGUAAUACGUAGGGUGCAAGCGUUAAUCGGAAUUACUGGGCGUAAAGCGUGCGCAGGCGGUUUUGUAAGUCUGAUGUGAAAUCCCCGGGCUCAACCUGGGAAUUGCAUUGGAGACUGCAAGGCUAGAAUCUGGCAGAGGGGGGUAGAAUUCCACGUGUAGCAGUGAAAUGCGUAGAUAUGUGGAGGAACACCGAUGGCGAAGGCAGCCCCCUGGGUCAAGAUUGACGCUCAUGCACGAAAGCGUGGGGAGCAAACAGGAUUAGAAACCCCUGUAGUCCC